UCGACCUGGAAGUGUGGGACAGCUUGAAGCAGGGAGAGGGCUCCCAAGUCAUAGGUAGAUAAGAGACAAAUGGUUGUGUUCUUUUGCAUUUCUGACUAGCCUUUACAAAGGAGGCAACCAGAUAUGCCUUUAUCUUAGUGAGCAGAGGGAUGACUUUGACUAGCGUGGAAGGCAGGUUUGCCAGGAGCAGUUCCCAGCUUGACUUUUCCCUUUGUGAUUUGGGGGUCCCUAGAUUUAUUUUCCUUUCACAUUGGCAACUGAGUGGCCCUACUGGGACCCGUGACUUGUGACCCAGCCAAUCCU
rnacentral:lncRNA from 10 species